UACGGGGGGAGCAAGCGUUGUUCGGAUUUACUGGGCGUAAAGCGCGUGUAGGCGGCCCGUUAAGUGGGGUGUGAAAGCCCGGGGCUCAACCCCGGGACGCCGCUUCAAACUGGCGGGCUUGAGGACGGAAGAGGGGAGUGGAAUUCCUGGUGUAGCGGUGAAAUGCGUAGAGAUCAGGAGGAACACCCGUGGCGAAGGCGGCUCCCUGGUCCGUCCCUGACGCUGACGACGCGAAAGCGCGGGGAGCGAACGGG
rnacentral:rRNA from 1 species